rnacentral:lncRNA from 1 species
UCAGUGGCGAAUUUACAGCCAAAAAAUAGGGCACCCGCACCCGUGGUCUCUUCGUAAAAUUAGAUAUUUUAUAUGUAUAUUUUUUAAAAUUUUGUAUAAUAUUAUAUUCUUGCACCCGUACUACAAGAAGUCUAAAUGGUCCACAUGGUUAAAUGUUGAGCUUUUGACCUUGAGGAUUAAGGAUCAAUUCUCACUUCAAUACAUUUUACUUGGUGCACCCAUGUUCGAAAAAUCCUAGAUUCGCCUCUG